UGUGGUGCUGUCCUAAGGCAACUUUCUUCUGGCUCCAAACAUUUUUUUCUGACCAUUUUAUUGAAAAUGGCUUCUGCCAGAAAACUCAGAACCUCAUCAUGUGACCAGCAGUAGCAGUGCUCUCCUGUGCCUGGCAAGCAGCUACUAAAAAUGUUCUCCAGGGUUCCCCUUCUGUGACAGAGUCAACAUGUUAGUUGAUUGCUCUUACCCCAGCAAAUCAUGGCCAGCUUGGAUCAUGAACUUAAUACUCUGUGACUGUCUUCCUGAAGUCAUUCCAGCUUUAAUGACACAAUCACAGUUCAACACCUCCUGUGAAAUUGAGGCCUUGUGAACUGCUGUACUGUAUAGAAACCCACAACUUAAAGUGAAUACAGACUCUACUAUCAAUUAAGAGAAUGUACAAACAGAACUGUAAACGGAUGCAGUUGAUGGUCCAUAAUAUAAUUUUGGCUCUGAAUUCUCAAUCACCCAAGUAAUAUAACUCUGUAGUACAACUGGAAUGGAUGGCUUGUAUUAUAGUUGGCCCAAGUUUAGUUUUUUGAGUAUGUGCCAGCCAAAGGAGGAUGGCCUGCCCCUGCUGAGCCUGGUUCCUCCUAAGGUUUCUUCCUUCAAUUUUUACAUUAUCAACAUCAGCUUACCAUUUAAGGGAGUUUUUCCUUGCCACUGUCGCUUUUGGCUUGCUCACAUG